UACGGAGGGUGCGAGCGUUGUCCGGAAUCAUUGGGCGUAAAGGGCGCGUAGGUGGCCCGGUCAGUCUUUGGUGAAAGCGCGGGGCUCAACCCUGCGUCGGCCAGGGAUACUGCCGCGGCUCGAGCACUGUAGAGGCAGGCGGAAUUCCGGGUGUAGCGGUGGAAUGCGUAGAGAUGUGGAGGAACACCAGUGGCGAAGGCGGCUUUCUGGUCAGUAACUGACGCUGAGGCGCGAAAGCGUGGGGAGCAAACAGG
rnacentral:rRNA from 1 species